UACGGAGGGUGCAAGCGUUAAUCGGAAUUACUGGGCGUAAAGCGCACGCAGGCGGUUAAUUAAGUUAGAUGUGAAAUCCCCGGGCUUAACCUGGGAAUGGCAUCUAAGACUGGUUAGCUAGAGUCUUGUAGAGGGGGGUAGAAUUCCAUGUGUAGCGGUGAAAUGCGUAGAGAUGUGGAGGAAUACCGAUGGAGAAGUCAGCCCACUGGACAGAUACUGACGCUGAAGCGCGAAAGCGUGGGUAGCAAACAGG
rnacentral:rRNA from 1 species